UUAAUUUCUGUGAAACGAGAUUUGGAACAUUCAAGAUGGCUGCGCCCGUGAAGAAACGAAAAACGUCCUUGCCCAAAAAGACAGUUGGCCUAGCUUUUCCUGUGAAGUUCCCCGAUAUUUCCAUGUUUAUUGUAGAGCGGAAAAUACAAAGAGCUCGACUUGACCAUGUAAAGAAUCUAGCACGAAGGAAGGGGUUUCAAGUUAGCGAUUCUUUGAAUGAAUCAGUCACUCACAUAAUUUCUGAACUGGAGACGAGAGACCAAGUUCUAGAGGUCUUGAGAGGCAGACUAUCAAAUGAUGUUGAAGCUAGUCUCUUUCUCAAGGAUGCAGAGAUUGUCUGCAUGGGAUGGUUCACUUCCUGUAUGGAGGAGGGAGCUCCGGUGCAAGUAACACAUGGACACAGAUUGAAGCCAGAAGUAAAGGCUGUACCCACAGUGUCGUCGUCAUCAGCUUCCAAGACGUGUUACCAGGAUGCCAAGUACUGCUGUCAGCGAAUCACUCCAUUGAAUCACCACAAUAAGAAGCUCACUGAUGCAUUGGAAGUUUUGGAGAAGCAAGCCGACUUUCUUGGUGGAGACAACAAUUCAUCGCGAGCUCUGGCUUUCCGCAAGGCGUCUACUGCCCUCAAGGCCCUGCCAAAGACAGUCAGGAAUAUGCGUGAAGUUGAGAACCUAUGUGAUCUGAAAGGAGGGAAGCAUUGCAAGCGUGUAGUCCAGGAGAUUUUGGAGGAAGGAUUUUCCUCAGAAGUUGAAGAUAUCAUGAAUGAUGAGUGGUUCCAGACAGUGAAGAUAUUUACUGGCGUUUUUGGUUGUGGUGCAGCUACUGGUCGGAAGUGGUUCGACAUGAAACUCAGAAGUUUAGAAGACGUCAGACGUUGCCAAGAUAUUAAUUUGACAACUGAACAAAAACAUGGACUGAAGUUCUAUGAUGAUAUCAACACACCAGUCACUAGACAUGAAGCAGACGUCAUACAGCAGAUAGUUGCAGCGGAGGCCCAACAGAUCCUACCUGGUACCACCGUCACAGUCACUGGAGGGUUUAGUAGAGGAAAGACCACGGGUCAUGAUGUGGAUCUUCUUAUUUCUCAUCCUGAGGAAGGCAAGGAGGAGGGACUCUUAGCUCAGAUCCUCUACGCUCUACACAAGAAAGACUUCUUAGAAUACACCGACGUUCAGAACAGUUCUUAUAAUGAGGCUGCUAUCAGGCAGGUCAAACGAAAUCAAGUCAUGGAUCACUUCGAGCGUUGCUUCAGUAUAUUCCGCCUCCCCAAACGCCUCAUUCAAGAUAGGAGUGAGCUUAAUACUGACCAAUCCACAGUCAAACUGGGAGAAAAUACGCUCAAAAUGAGCCCAAAGGACCAGGCCAACACACAGAGACCCACAUUGGCAGAGGAAGGUUCAGGAGAUGUCGAAGAUACUACAAAUAAGACACAGAACCAAGACAACAGUGACGAGACUGGGAAUGCUGAUGAUCGGAACGUGAGAACUCAGUCACAGGAUGCGGGAUUAUUAGAUAGCAAGCUGACACCUUGUGUAGAUUCAGAAGCAACAAGUCUCAAUGAUGGGGUUCGGGACUGGGUUGCUCGUCGAGUCGACCUGAUCAUCACCCCACACAGCCAGUAUGCCUACGCCCUCAUGGGGUGGAUCGGAUCACGCAUGUUCAACAGAUCCAUCAGGGAUUACGCUAACCGGGAAAUGAACAUGACGCUGACAAGCCAUGGACUGUUUGAUAAAACUAAGAAUGCACUCAUUCCUGCUAAGACGCAGAGAGAAAUCUUUGAACAUCUCAAGUUGCAGUACAGAGAACCCAAAGAGCGCAACUGCUGAGCACAAUAUUCGUGACUUGGUGUCCAUGGCAAACAAUCAUCCAAACACCAAUGGUUCACAGUUUUUCAUCACCUAUGCCAAACAGCCCCAGCUUGAUAUGAAAUACACCCUCAUUGGAAACUACAAGACACAUCAUGGCGGCUGACGGGCAACGUGCAGAAUUUGUAUUCGGUGAAAUAAUAGACAAAAGGCUAUUUGAAAAAGAUUUGGUUCAGAUAGCUAGUCAACUGCGUGCACAGAACAAGAGUGUCUACGAUCUGAAUGCUGCUAAAAGAGAAAUGUCACUGGAAAUGGAUAAGUAUGUCUUCAUCAGCAUUUAUCAAAUGCAUGCCUCCAUUGUUGUGGUGGAUAAAGAGUUGUUCAACACUCUGCUGUUUGAACCAGUCUGGGG
rnacentral:misc_RNA from 1 species